CUUGCACAUACUAGGUAAGAGCUCUACCACUGAAGAUCCAGGAACUUGCACAUACUAGGUAAGAGCUCUACCACUGAGCUAUAUCCUCAGCCCUUUUAAAAUUUGAGACUGAGACUGAUUCUGGUUAAUUUGCCUGACUAGUCUCAAACUUGUGAUCCUCCUGGCUCAGCCUCCAAGUAGUUGGGAUUAUGGGAGUGUACCACCAAAUUCACUGUAACUUGACUUUUUAAUGAUAAACUAAGUAGGAAGUUUCAGGGCAUUUCUUCUCAUGUAUUGCAUAAAAUGGAUGACUGCAAAUUAUGGAUUUUUUUACCCCCCCCCCCCUUUGGCACCAGGGGAUUGAACCCAGGAGUGUUUAACUACUGAGCCACAUCUCCAGCACUUUUUAUAUUUUAUUUUGAAACAGUCUUGCUAAGUUGCUCAGUGCCUUGUUAAGUUGCUGAGGCUGGCUUUGAACUUGUGAUCCUCCUGCCUUGGCCUUGAGAGCUUCUGAGAUUACAGGUGUAUGCCACCCUGCCUGGCUGAUAUUUUGUUCUUAGAGUUAAAAAUCAAGGUUUUGCAAUCUUACCAUCUGCGAUGGAACUACCAUCAUAUUGUGUACAGUGGUGUCCACUCCUAAUGUAAACAUCUGUUAGCAGGCACAGUGCUGAUACUGACUUUUCACGGUGUAUACCCUGAUUCUGUGUAAUGUUUAAUAAAGAAUUUUACCAAUAGCUUGUUAUACUUUCUUUAAGCUAAAUAUUUGUUUUUAACUUGUAGCUAUUUGUACAAAUAUCUCUGUAACAAAAUGACUUCUAC
rnacentral:lncRNA from 1 species